UAAUUCUGAUUUCUCCUGAGAAUUUUAAAGAAAAACUCAAAGGGAAUACAUUCUGCUUUAGAUGUGCUUAUCCAGCUCAAGAAGAAACAACUGAAUGAAUGCAUGAAAGGAAGGCAGGACAGAACCUGCUCUAUUCAGAUACUAAAAGAUGAAGAUCACCAAGCAAAAUGUGGAAGCCAGCUGCUUUUCGGGAAAUAAAAAU